GCCUGAUGCAGCGACGCCGCGUGAGGGAUGACGGCCUUCGGGUUGUAAACCUCUUUCAGCAGGGACGAAGCGCAGGUGACGGUACCUGUAGAAGAAGGACCGGCCAACUACGUGCCAGCAGCCGCGGUAAUACGUACGGUCCGAGCGUUGUCCGGAAUUACUGGGCGUAAAGAGCUCGUAGGUGGUUUGUCGCGUUGUUCGUGAAAACUCACAGCUUAACUGUGGGCGUGCGGGCGAUACGGGCAGACUUGAGUACUGCAGGGGAGACUGGAAUUCCUGGUGUAGCGGUGGAAUGCGCAGAUAUCAGGAGGAACACCGGUGGCGAAGGCGGGUCUCUGGGCAGUAACUGACGCUGAGGAGCGAAAGCGUGGGGAGCGAACAGGAUUAGAUACCCUGGUAGUCCACGCCGUACACGGUGGGUACUAGGUGUGGGUUUCCUUCCUUGGGAUCCGUGCCGUAUCUGACGCAUUAAGUACCCCGCCUGGGGAGUACGGCCGCAAGGGUAAAACUCAAAGAAAUUGACGGGGGCCCGCACAAGCGGCGGAGCAUGUGGAUUAAUUCGAUGCAACGCGAAUAACCUUACCUGGCUUUGACAUGCACAGGACGUGCCUAGAGAUAGGUAUUCCC
rnacentral:rRNA from 1 species